rnacentral:rRNA from 1 species
CCUACGGGUGGCAGCAGUGGGGAAUAUUGCACAAUGGGGGAAACCCUGAUGCAGCGACGCCGCGUGAGUGAAGAAGUAUUUCGGUAUGUAAAGCUCUAUCAGCAGGGAAGAAAAAGACGGUACUUGAUGAAGAAGCAGCGGCUAACGACGUGCCAGCAGCCGCGGCAAUACGGAGGGGGCAAGCGUUAUCCGGAUUAACUGGGUGGAAAGGGAGCGUAGACGGCGGCGCAAGUCUGGAGUGAAAUGCCGGGGCUUAACCCCCGAACUGCUUUGGAAACUGUGUAGCUAGAGUGCAGGAGAGGUAAGUGGAAUUCCUAGUGUAGCGGUGAAAUGCGUAGAUAUUAGGAGGAACACCAGUGGCGAAGGCGGCUUACUGGACUGUAACUGACGUUGAGGCUCGAAAGCGUGGGGAGCAAACAGGAUUAGAUACCCGAGUAGUC